GACGAACGCUGGCGGCGUGCUUAACACAUGCAAGUCGAACGGAAAGGCCCUGCUUUUGUGGGGUGCUCGAGUGGCGAACGGGUGAGUAACACGUGCGUAACCUGCCCUUGACUUUGGGAUAACUUCAGGAAACUGGGGCUAAUACCGGAUAGGAGCUCCUGCUGCAUGGUGGGGGUUGGAAAGUUUCGGCGGUUGGGGAUGGACUCGCGGCUUAUCAGCUUGUUGGUGGGGUAGUGGCUUACCAAGGCUUUGACGGGUAGCGGGCCUGAGAGGGUGACCGGCGUUAGUGGGAUUAAGAGCCGCCCAGGACGCCUCCGGAAGGAAGGAGGGGGAAAUAUGGAAAAAAGGGUGAAGGGCGGAGACCGCAACGCCGCGUGCGGGGUAACGGCCGCGGGUUUGUAAAGCGCUUGCGCCGGAAACAAAGCGGGGGUGACGGAAGGGGAAAAAAAAGCGCGGCAAAAAUUCGGU
rnacentral:rRNA from 1 species